CAAAAGGUGUUUUUCAACACCACCCAUAUACAAAGAAUCUUACUU
rfam:Polysphondylium pallidum PN500 unplaced genomic scaffold PPL_contig26, whole genome shotgun sequence.